GACUACAUGAAGCUGGAAUCGCUAGUAAUCGCAAAUCAGAAUGUUGCGGUGAAUACGUUCCCGGGUCUUGUACACACCGCCCGUCACACCAUGGGAGUCGGAUAUGCCCGAAGCCAGUGACCUAACCGCAAGGAAGGAGCUGUCGAAGGUGGAGCCGAUAACUGGGUGAAGUCGUAACAAGGUAUC
rnacentral:rRNA from 1 species